AGAAACUACAAAGGAAGUUGACGGGGGCCCGGCACAAGCGGUGGAGCAUGUGGUUUAAUUCGAUGAUACGCGAGGAACCUUACCUGGGCUCAAAUGUAUGUUGACGUAUUCUGAAAGGGAUACUUCUUCGGACAAUAUACAAGGUGCUGCAUGGUUGUCGUCAGCUCGUGCCGUGAGGUGUCGGGUUAAGUCCCAUAACGAGCGCAACCCCUAUCAUUAGUUGCCAUCAGGUCAAGCUGGGGACUCUAAUGAAACUGCCUACGCAAGUAGUGAGGAAGGUGGGGAUGACGUCAAAUCAGCACGGCCCUUACGUCCAGGGCUACACACGUGCUACAAUGGCCGGUACAAAGGGCAGCUACCUGGUGACAGGAUGCUAAUCUCAAAAGCCGGUCUCAGUUCGGAUCGGAGUCUGCAACCCGACUCCGUGAAGCUGGAAUCGCUGGUAAUCGCGCAUCAGCCAUGGCGCGGUGAAUACGUUCCCGGGCCUU
rnacentral:rRNA from 1 species